rnacentral:lncRNA from 1 species
GACUUUCCAAAGAACCCUUAAGUUUCCACGGCAAGUACUAGGCAUGGCCCCAGGCUGCGGAGGGAGACACAGGAGGACCUCUAGAGCUUGCUGCUCAGCCAGGCUACUCACGACGGACAACAAUCUCAACAGCCCAGUGGCCAGUCAAGAUCAACAUGCCAGGACCACACACCAAGAGAAGCACAGAAUCUCUCUGGACUUGGCACCUGCGGGUUUGCACACAUGACUGCGCUUUGGAGGCCACAGAGCCAUCUUGAGCAUCACGGGUGCUGCCUUACAGUCUCCCCUCAGUACUGUUGUGUGAGCCCCAGCCGGGGUUUUCACUCUAGCUUCUGUUACAUUGUUUCCUGUUACAUUGUUUCCCGUUACAUUGUCUCUUGGUGCUUUUUGCCUCUCAUCCUUUGUUGGCACCAGCGAGUUGCUUUCUACAUUUGUGCUGUCCAGUGGAGCAAUUAAAAGACGCUUGCAA